rnacentral:rRNA from 1 species
UACGUAGGUGACCAGCGUUGUCCGGAUUUACUGGGCGUAAAGAGCGCGCAGGCGGUCGUUCAAGUCGAGUGUGAAAGCCCCCGGCUCAACUGGGGAGGGUCAUUCGAUACUGAUCGACUCGAAGGCAGGAGAGGGAAGUGGAAUUCCCGGUGUAGUGGUGAAAUGCGCAGAUAUCGGGAGGAACACCGGUGGCGAAGGCGGUUCUCUGGGCCUGUACUGACGCUGAGGAGCGAAAGCGUGGGGAGCGAACAGG